rnacentral:rRNA from 1 species
CUACGGGGUGCACCAGUCGAGAAUCUUCCGCAAUGGACGAAAGUCUGACGGAGCGACGCCGCGUGCGGGAUGAAGGCCUUCGGGUUGUAAACCGCUGUCAGUGGGGAGGAAAUGCAUCAGGGUUCUCCCUGGUGUUUGACCGAUCCGCAGAGGAAGCGCAGGCUAAGUUCGUGCCAGCAGCCGCGGUAACACGAACUGCGCGAACGUUAUUCGGAAUCACUGGGCUUAAAGAGUUCGUAGGCGGCCUUUCAAGUCGGGUGUGAAAUCCCUCGGCUCAACCGAGGAAUUGCGCCUGAUACUGUUGGGCUUGAGGGGGAUAGGGGUGAGCGGAACUGAUGGUGGAGCGGUGAAAUGCGUUGAUAUCAUCAGGAACACCGGUGGCGAAGGCGGCUCACUGGAUCUCUUCUGACGCUGAGGAACGAAAGCUAGGGGAGCGAACGGGAUUAGAUACCCCAGUAGUC